UACGAAGGGUGCUAGCGUUGCUCGGAAUUACUGGGCGUAAAGGGUGCGUAGGCGGUUCUUUAAGUCUGGGGUGAAAUCCCGGAGCUCAACUCCAGAACUGCCUUUGAUACUGAAGAGCUUGAGUUCGGGAGAGGUGAGUGGAACUGCGAGUGUAGAGGUGAAAUUCGUAGAUAUCAGGAGGAACACCGGUGGCGAAGGCGGCUUUCUGGACACUAACUGACGCUGAGACGCGAAAGCGUGGGGAGCAAACAGG
rnacentral:rRNA from 1 species